rnacentral:rRNA from 1 species
GAUGAACGCUGGCGGCGUGCCUAAUACAUGCAAGUCGAGCGAACAGACGAGGAGCUUGCUCCUCUGACGUUAGCGGCGGACGGGUGAGUAACACGUGGAUAACCUACCUAUAAGACUGGGAUAACUUCGGGAAACCGGAGCUAAUACCGGAUAAUAUAUUGAACCGCAUGGUUCAAUAGUGAAAGACGGUUUUGCUGUCACUUAUAGAUGGAUCCGCGCCGCAUUAGCUAGUUGGUAAGGUAACGGCCUACCAAGGCAACGAUGCGUAGCCGACCUGAGAGGGUGAUCGGCCACACUGGAACUGAGACACGGUCCAGACUCCUACGGGAGGCAGCAGUAGGGAAUCUUCCGCAAUGGGCGAAAGCCUGACGGAGCAACGCCGCGUGAGUGAUGAAGGUCUUCGGAUCGUAAAACUCUGUUAUUAGGGAAGAACAAAUGUGUAAGUAACUAUGCACGUCUUGACGGUACCUAAACAGAAAGCCACGGCUAACUACGUG